rnacentral:tRNA from 1 species
GGCGAGAUGGCCGAGCGGUCUAAGGCGCUAGAAUCAGGU